AUUGAGCACCUGGAGGGAAGUCCCUGGGAGCGCAGGUGAAGGCAAUUCACUGUGUGACCAGAAGGGGAGGAGCCUGGUUCCACCCCUCUUCAGGCUCAUUUAAGGGCUGACUGCCAGCGAGGAAGGAUCUCUUUCUGGAGCUUCCUCCUUGGUGGAGGCCUUCCCCUGCAGACCCAGAAUCUUCGGAUACGGGAGUUUUGGAGUUUGUCAGCAGCAAAAAGGAGACCAAGGAAUGCAGGGGUGCCAACCGCCUUCUCUUCUUCAGCGGGCACAGCGGAGAGCGCUCCUCAGGGAUCCCGGAGGAGGUGGUAAGGGACGAUGAAAUGUGUCUGAGGACCAGAGGACAGCCAGCGUGGGCGCAGCCUUCAAACAGGGCGAGAAGCACGGCGUCCCCUCGAUCCCCAGGGAGAUGAGGGAACAACUUGUUCUAGGUGUCACGUCCUGGCCCUGGGAAGAGAAGAAAAUAGUCCGGGGCAGUCGAGGCGGAUCCAGCUGGACCGAGCCGGUAGCACUGUGCAGGAGUCUCAUGGCAUUCACGGAUGGGAACACCGGCAGGAAGAAGGGUUGGACCGUGUUCGAUGGAGCGGUCAUGGCAUCCCCUUGGCUGGGGCUGCGGAAGUUGGGUCUGGAGGCUUUCCCAGGUGAGGUGCCCUAGGGAGCGGGCCCUUCCCCUCCCUCUGGCUGAGUUGUUUUGUUUUUGUUUCAGGGUGCUCUGCAACUGGAGGGCCGCCAGCCCCAGCAGGUCCCCGAGCUCUUUCUUCUGGUUCAGGGCCGGACCAAGGGUUGUGACGGUGGCUCUGUAGAGCAAGGUGAGUUGUGCCCUGCCUGGGUUCUAUGGGGUUCCAGGGAAAUGAGCGUGUUGCGUUUGAGGGUGUGCUUUUUGUUUCAGCCCUUCUCCUGGAGGAGAGUGAGAUCCUGGGGCCAGCGGGUAAUGUCCGUCCCGGCAGAGGUGUUGUGUUCUUUCAGGGUCAGGUGCCGCUGGAGUCCAGAGAGGAAGGUGAAGCCCUGAGGCGGGAAGGCACCUGUUGGGUGUUAGCUGGCUUAGGUGUGGCUUUGAGUAAAAUGAGGCUUGGUAGUUGUGGUGGUGGCCUCUUAGGGUGUGGUUUUAAGUGAGAGUGGGGUUGGUGUGAGUGAGUUGCGUUUAGAUGUUGUGUUGAGAGAUGUAGUGCAAUGGGGUUAUUGGUGGCUGCUGUAGUAGGUGUUGAGCAGCUUAGCUGCGGGUGUGACUUGUGGUGUAGGGGUGGCAUGUUUUGGUGGUGCUUUAUUUGUUGGUGUGGCUUGAGUGGUGAUGGGUGUGAGUUGGAAGGGAGAAUGGUGUU